GCCUGGGUGGCUCAGUUGGUUGAGCAUCUGAUUCUUGAUAUGGGCUCAGGUCAUGAUCCCAGGGUCAUGGGAUCAAGCCCCAUGUCGGGCG
rnacentral:tRNA from 1 species